UUCCACACAUGGAAAAUGCAAACUGUUCGACUCUGCUUCUUCUUGCUGAUGGAAUUGCUAACAAAAUUGAUGAAAAUGAAGUCCCUCAAACAUGCAAAACCCCUCCUUCAAUUCCCAUCUUUCAUACAACAAAAAUCCUACACUUCAAUACCAUUACUAUGUCCAACUCAAGAACUACAAACCACCACCACCACCUUAAAACUAACAAACCAAGAACUCACCAAAAUCAACCUCCUAAUCCCACGCUUAUGUCUCUCAGACAAUCUAACAACAGCAACCCACUUAACAACCACUGCCCUUCUCACAAACCCACCACACAGCUCAAUCUCUCUCUCAAUUCUCGUCCACUCACUCACUUCCCAACCCGACAUGACCCAACCCAUGUCGCUCCUCACCACUCUCAGACACUCCCCACAAGCCCACAACCAUCUCACACCCAUCACAACCAUGCUUGUGAUGUCCUAUGUUAGAAAGAAGAGGGUAAAAGAGGCGUUUAAAGUGUAUCAAUGGAUGACUCGACCUGGGUCUCCUUGUAAAGUGGAAAAGAUUGUUUUUUUGGGUUUGGUUGAUGGGUUUUGUGAGUUGGGUUUGGUGGUGGAUGGUUUGAGGGUUUUGAGGGAUAUGGUUGGUGUGGGGUUUGUUCCUGGAGAUGGGUUGAGGAGAAGGGUUUUUAGGAAGAUGUUGAUGGAGGCUAGAGUGAAGGAGGGUUUGGAAUUGGAUAAAGCUUUGUGCUUUUGUGCUAAUGGUGGGGUUGAUGGGAUUGUUAAAGUUAGAGAUUUGUUGGAUAAUAUCAUUGGCAACUGGACAGAGUAGGAACAGAGUACAAUGCGACUUCAAGAGAAUCUAUGUUCCUCCUUUCCUUUACGAGUUCUUCUAUUUUAGCAGCUGUAUCGUGCCAUUCAAAGAAUGUUUAGGUUUUCACAUUGUAUUCAUAUAUCAAAAGAGUAGCAAACCCAUUCAUCUGUAUCUCUAACCUGUUGUUCUUAGUUAUUGGACUUGAAUGGCACUAAUGAUUGUUGACAUAUGUGUUGCACCAGAACUUAUGGAGUGGAAGUAUGCCAAAAAUGUAGAGAUAACUCUUUCCAUAAUCCGUUGGCGGGAAUAUAUUGAAAUUUGAAGCAUACUUCAGCUGCCCAACAGUCCAACGGAUGGGACCGUAUGAUUUUGCAGCUUCUUUUUGGCAGACAUUUUUUCAUGUACUAUUAUCAACCAUGAAUCUGGAAGGUAAACAUAUGGAAGAACAUUUUCUGCGAAACAAUUCCGGUCUGAGGUAAACCAUUUUUGUCUUUGAACAAAAUGGUUAAUCCACAUCUGUAUUUUGGUUUAGCCACCAGGCUCUGCAGUUGCCUGGAGUAAGAGAUGUUAUUUAUGCCUGCCAAGUUGAAUUACUUCUUGUGAUUAUUGUUUGUAGCAUUACCAUUUAUAAUGACUUUGAUGGGUUUAAAUACAUUAUUGAGGUCGCUGAUUUUUUAA